rnacentral:rRNA from 1 species
GAUGAACGCUGGCGGCGUGCCUAAUACAUGCAAGUCGAGCGAAUGGAUUAAGAGCUUGCUCUUAUGAAGUUAGCGGCGGACGGGUGAGUAACACGUGGGUAACCUGCCCAUAAGACUGGGAUAACUCCGGGAAACCGGGGCUAAUACCGGAUAACAUUUUGAACCGCAUGGUUCGAAAUUGAAAGGCGGCUUCGGCUGUCACUUAUGGAUGGACCCGCGUCGCAUUAGCUAGUUGGUGAGGUAACGGCUCACCAAGGCAACGAUGCGUAGCCGACCUGAGAGGGUGAUCGGACACACUGGGCCUGAGACACGGCGCAGACUCCUACGGGAGGCAGCAGUAGGGAAUCUUCCGCAAUGGACGAAAGUCUGACGGAGCAACGCCGCGUGAGUGAUGAAGGCUUUCGGGUCGUAAAACUCUGUUGUUAGGGAAGAACAAGUGCUGGUUGAAUAAGCUGGCACCUUGACGGUACCUAACCAGAAAGCCACGGCUAACUACGUGCCAGCCGCCGCCGUAA